UCUGUCUGAGGGUCCAGACAUUUUGAAUUGAGAAAGCUUUCUCGAUAGGAAGCGAAACAUCUUCAAACCUCAGAAAAACCUGAGGGUUGACCUUUGCCCUCACCUGCCUUCUCAUCUGGACCAGCUGCACAUUAAAGGGUUCCCCAACUACUCUUUCCCAUCCAAUCCAAAUUCCAAAGGAUUUGGGCCCCAUGAACCUAACAAGUUCAGUUGCUUUUUAGUUGAUUUGCUCAGCAAGUGACCUGGAUGUUUGUUUUUAGUCACAACAAACCCAAGCAAUGACUCAGGCCUGCAGCGCUUUAUUCUGGCCUCAGUUAUCCGUAUUUGAGUCGAUAUUAGCUUACCUGAUAAGUGAUGUUUUGGACUGAGAGCAGUUUGACCUGAUAAACCUGAGAGGUGAAUAUUGUUAGAAACUAUUGUGACACUGCUGAGAUAACAUCUGGUGUGUGUCAUGGUUUUGACAGAUGUGACCCACAUGCAGAACACACUCAGGAGACUGGUGAAUAUUAAAAGGUUUAUUGAAAUAGGUUUGAGAACAUGUUGUCUGGAACCGGGAACACUGAGUGGAUCCUCAACUGCUCACGGACAGGACAGUUUGAGGUACUGCAAGUUGUCAGAGAUCAGCUGUGCUUCUUUGGUCUCUGCUCUGAAGUCCAACCCCUCCCAUCUGAAAGACCUAGACCUGAGUUCCAAUGACCUGAAAGAUUCUGGAGUGAAGGAGCUCUGUGGUUUUCUCCAAACUCCCGUCUGCAAACUACAGAUAUUGAGCUUGUGGGGCUGCAAUUUGUCAAAGAUCAGUUGUGAUUCUCUGGUAUUGGCUCUGAAGUCCAACCCGUCCCAUCUGACUGGACCUGAGCAGAAAUAACCUGAAGGAGUCAGAUGUUCAGCAACUGCAGGAUCUUGUAAAGAGUCCAGACUACAAACUGGAAUCUGUGUAAGUAGAUGGUUGGAGUGAGUCCAGCUGCUGUCAGCAGAACUGUUCUGAACCCAGUUGGUACCAAAGCAAAGAUCCAGUGUUU